rnacentral:sRNA from 1 species
GUGAAGUUGAUCACAAACAAACAUUUACCCCUUUGUUUGACCGUGAAAAAUUUCUCCCAUCCCCUUUGUUCGUAUAAAAUAGAGAGAAGGCCUUGCAGUUGGAGAGCUGCAAGGCCUUUUU